rnacentral:lncRNA from 1 species
UUAUAUUUGCUUAUUUAAGAAGCAUCCAUCUGUACUAAAUUCUUAUUUGCUUAUUUGAGAAGCAUCAAUCUGUACUUAAUUAUUAUCUGCUUAUUUGAGAAGCACAUUGUUGUAAAUCAUUUGUAAAAAGGAGAAAAGGUCAGAGUUGGUGUAUUUUAUGUACCUGUGAGAAAGACGAGUAAUUCUUCGACCAAGACCAGAGUCUUAGAGAGGUCAGCGGGAAGUUGGGUCUCUAGUGUACUUGUGAGGUGAGGAAGAGGUUGUUGUUUCAAGACCAGAUCAUAGAAUAGAACUGAACUCAAAAGAAGUACAACUAAGCUUGAGGAGGGAGCGGGGAGCUUGCUAUCCAAGAUAGAUUAGUUGGGAACAGUUGGAAGUUUGACUAUAAAACUUUGUAAAGGCUUCUCCGCC